GUUCUUGUUUUUAUGCAUUAUGUCUAUCCGAUAUACUAACUCUAUAGCUAAAAGCAAACACUCUUAAUUGCUUGAUUGGUUAACCAUAUAUCUAACCAUGUCAUAAUUGACAGUGCUCAGGUUAUUGUGCUAACUGUUUCUGGACAAGGCCGUAUUGCUAGAUAAGGGAUUGCUAAUCAAUGUACUUUCCCUACUAAUUUUUGCCACUGAAAAUUUUCUUGUUUAUAAACUUAAAGUAAUCUUGAAAUCAAUGGAUUUUUGGGGUGACCAGUGUGUGAUGCAUGAUAAAAUAAAUUACUUUCAUCAUUUGUUCUCUCCCCA
rnacentral:misc_RNA from 1 species